rnacentral:tRNA from 1 species
ACGGUUAUAGUUUAAUGGCAGAGCUAUCGUUUUCCAAACGAUGUGUGAGGGUUCGAAUCCCUCUAACCGUA